rnacentral:sRNA from 1 species
UUGGUAAAUGCCGAUAAAACUUCCUCGUCUAUAAAUACGCUUUUUUCCACCAAUUCGGGACUCAACGCUUCUUAAACAGCGUCAUUUCAAGCAAAAAAGCAUCAUUCAGAUGGCGAAGAAGACAAUAGAAUAUGAAGAUGAUGAAGAAUGCCGUCCAGCGUAACAGGACGACCAUGUGCGACAUUCACCCUAGGUCGACGGCAAAACCGGCCGAAAUUGCGUUUUGGUACUAAAAGAACAAGGAUGAGGCCAUAUGAGGCAUGAAAAGAUUCGGGCUAAGAAAAUAGACAUUUGCAAAUGAAAUGUGAACGAAGCAGUCCUGUUGGACGCCUUUCGUUUGGCCCCAACUAUGCAGGGCGUUUCUACUUUCGGUGCUUGACCUAUGACCAAUGUCAUCGUAAUUGGUUGCUUGCGAACACAAGAGCCACCCAGCUCAGUUCAAGGAAUACGACGAUGAAGUAAACCAAUCUUGAGUGCGGAUCAUUGGCAAAGAAAGGAGCCAAUAAAGAGGAAGCUUAGAUUGCUGAAGGGACAGAUUCGGCCAAGGAUCCGGAUUCCCAUUCUGAGCACCACAUUAAGAGCGGCAUGCUGCACGCCGGAAACCGAUCGAAGGAGGAGGAGCUGCAGCCGCUAAGGCUUUCCCUUGACUAAGGGACCAGAUCGCAAACAAGCUAGGCAAGCAACAGCGGAUGGAGCUCAAAAGGCUACUGGUUGGCGGACGGAACAGAACUGGCGGUAGUAGCGGGCUUUCUAUACAAAUUUGAUGGCGUGAAGCGACUGGACUGGCCGUCGGAGCAGCUUGAGAAUCGUCACAUGGCCGCACCGCUUUCAAAAAUGAGAAGGAAUUCGAAGCAGAGUCGCGGCCAGCAGAAGGCACAGAUUUAACAUGGACCACAUUGGGGCGGGAAUCAUUUAAGUAGAAAUGCAAAGGCUUAACUUCAAAAAGAAAUUAUUUUGUGGGCUUAUCUUAAUAAAAACUUGUAUCUAAAAUUUUGGCCAAAA